CCUCAGCAUAUGGAAGUUCCCAGGCUAGGGGUUGAAUUGGCGCUGUAGCUGCCAGCCUACACAACAGCCACAGCAACACAGGAUCUGAGCCAUGUCUGCGACCUACACCACAGCUCCCAGCAAUGCUGGAUCCCCAACCCACUGAGUGAGGCCAGGGAUCGAACCCGCAUCCUCAUUGAUACCAGUCAGAUUUGUUUCUGUUGCGCCAAAGUGGAAACUCCCUAAAACUCAUUUUUCCCCACCAUAUCAGAGUGCAUGAUUGUGUUUCACCCUUGUCUUAAAUCCUUUCUAGAAUAAGGCAGAACACAAAUCAAUUUUACAAAUUAUUCCCAACGGCUUUACCAGAAGUCACAUCCAUCUUAGUAAUGCAGAGGGUAAGUGUCAAGGAGGGUCUUCGUAGUGGAAGAGCACAGACUUUGACUUGAAAUGAACUUUUAUUUGUAUCCCUGUUCUGCCUCUUAGUGAUCUUGAGAAAGUUUCUUAAGCCAUGCUGAUUUUUAAUUAUAUCAUUUAUGAAAUGAAGGUAUUCAUAGAAUUCCGAAAUGGCAGUGCAAUGCCUAAAGCAGAGGACCUUCCAAAUGGUGCUUAUUCACCCUUCUUUCUGAGGAUGCCACUUAAAGAAGGACAUGGCCAUUAAAGCAGCUCAGAAAAAGGAAAAUAUUGUCUCUAGGAAGGGCUUAGUUGGUUUUAUGACAAAGGGAUAUCCCUCAAGGUAUGCGUCAAUUUAAUGUAAAAUGCCCUUGACACAGAAUGAAAUAUGGCCUAUUAUAGUGAAUUUAUAUUUUUGCUUGUCAUUUGCUUCAUCAGAAACUGAUUAAUGAUACAUCUUGAGAUUCAUCAAAAUUUAAAACUAUUUUUAUACACACUACUAUAUAUGAAAAUAGACAAUCAACAAGGACCUACUGUAUAGCACAAGGAAAUGUACUCAACACUUUGUAAUAACCUAUGUGGGAAAAGAAUAUGAAAAAGAAUGUAUAAUAUGUAUAUGUAUAACCAAUUCACAAGCACAACACUGUAAAUCAACUCUACACCAAUAAAAUUUUUUAAAAAAUUAAGAUUACAAAAGUACCUUCAAGGAAUUUGCAAAUAUUCUGUAAAUUAUAACCAAUGCCAUAGUAAAUGCAAAUGGGGAUGUCAAAACAGGGAAAGAUAACUCCAGGUUUAGAGGAUACUUCUAGAUUUGGGGUUUUCUGGGUCUUUAAUCAUUGGAAUGCACCUUCGGAAGCUAAAGGAAUAUGAGAAAAAUAGAGAAGGGACACCAAGAAAAUUAAUUACCUUUGUGGUACAAACAUAGGACUAGUGACAGAAAAACUAAAAUGUAGUGUGAACAAAAGCUGGUGACAGUGCUCAAACAUUUAAUCAAGACAAGUCAUUUAAGUUCAACUUUUUUUUUUUUUUUUUACUUAUUUAUUUAUUUAUUUUUGUCUUUUUGCUAUUUCUUUGGGCUGCUCCCACGGCAUAUGGAGAUCCCAGACGUGGCUCGGAUCUGACAUUGCUGUGGCUGUGGUAUAGGCCAGCAGCAACAGCUCCGACUGGACCCUUAGCCUGGGAACCUCCAUGUGCCAUGGGUGAGGCCCUAAAAAGGCAAAAAACAAAAAACAAGAAGGGGCAAUUGGAAGAACAGUAAUGUCAGCAUGACUGCAUUCAUUAGUUGCUUAAAUGCACCUGCUUAUUUUUGUAUGUUCCCCUUUUAAAGGAAAAUAUAUAGAAAUAGAAUUUUCAAAAUUACUUUCAAAUGCCUACUUAAUUGAGGGCACCGCUAAUAUAUGUUAAAUUUUUUACUAAAAUAAAUAUUUCAAAGGGUAAGAUCCCUCUUUUUCUUUUUUUAAGAAAAUUAAGUAGGCAGAUUUAUUAUUUGACUAAUCAGGGAAAUAAUUAGAGAACUCAUUAUACAAAAAUACACGUGUGUAUAUAUAUUUGAAAAUCAGGUAUCUUAUUUCAAAAGCAAUAAAAAAAACUGAAAAGAGGAUCUGGGAUUUCUUAUAUUUGUCGUAAGUAGAGCAAUUUCCGUUUGAGAAUAUACUUCAAAGUGUUUCUCAAAACUUCUCCUUUUUAGGAGUUUCCUGGUGGCUCAGUGAGUUAAGGAUCUGGUGUUGUCACUAUUAUUGCUCAGGUCACUACUGUGCCACAGAAACUUCUGCAUGCCACAGGCACGGCCAAAACAAACAAACUACCACUUUUUGGGGGGUUUUCAUUUUUUAAAAUUUUAUUGAAGUAUAGUUUAUUUACAGUGUUAAUUUCUGCUGUACAACACAUAACUACCACUUUUAAAGUCAUUCAUUCAUUGACUUUUUCGCUUAUUCCUUCAUUUGACAUUUUAAAAAAAAUUUUUCCUGAAAUAAUAGUACUGCGUAUUCGUUAUGAAAUUUAGAAAAGCCAUUAAAGUACAAACAAGGAAAUGAAAAUGCCCUUUUCCUUUCUGUACUCAAAGCUAAUGACCAUUUCCUGUUUGGAGGCAUUUUCCUUCAUAAAGAUAUCCUCCCUGUGGUCAGGCCCCUUAGGCAGCCUUGCUUCUUGCUGCUGAGUGUGACUCAGCAUUGGU
rnacentral:lncRNA from 9 species